rnacentral:rRNA from 1 species
AUGAACGCUGGCGGCUUGCCUAAUACAUGCAAGUCGAGCGAACGGACGAGAAGCUUGCUUCUCUGAUGUUAGCGGCGGACGGGUGAGUAACACGUGGAUAACCUACCUAUAAGACUGGGAUAACUUCGGGAAACCGGAGCUAAUACCGGAUAAUAUUUUGAACCGCAUGGUUCAAAAGUGAAAGACGGUCUUGCUGUCACUUAUAGAUGGAUCCGCGCUGCAUUAGCUAGUUGGUAAGGUAACGGCUUACCAAGGCAACGAUGCAUAGCCGACCUGAGAGGGUGAUCGGCCACACUGGAACUGAGACACGGUCCAGACUCCUACGGGAGGCAGCAGUAGGGAAUCUUCCGCAAUGGGCGAAAGCCUGACGGAGCAACGCCGCGUGAGUGAUGAAGGUCUUCGGAUCGUAAAACUCUGUUAUUAGGGAAGAACAUAUGUGUAAGUAACUGUGCACAUCUUGACGGUACCUAAUCAGAAAGCCACGGCUAACUACGUG